AUGUCCCAAUACCUGUGUCUAAUCAACACAUCUCUGUUCACCAGAAAUGUGGAUAUCAGGUCUGAAGAUUUAUGACAGGAGUUCGGUUGGUGUGGUCCAAUUGUAGAUGUUUAUGUUACACUUGAUUGGUAUAAGGGUCUUCCAAGAGGAUUUGCAUAUGUUCAAUUUGAGUGUGUUCAUGAUGCUGAAGAUGCUUUACAUACUUUGGACAGAAAAUGGAUUUGUGGGUGUCAAAUUGAAAUACAGUUCACACAGGGAUAUUGGAAGACACUAAAUCAAAUGAAAGACAAGUUAGGGAAGAAUGUAUACAGCUCUUGACAAUAUGAGGAUUAUGACAGAUAUAGACAGUCUCAAAGUGUAAGUUAUGAAAGAAGGAGAUCAAGGAGUUGCUCCUUUGAUCAUAACUCUAGGAGAUUUUACAGUUCUAGAAACAGUAGACCAACUGGAAGACCAUGGCAUUGCUGAAGCCAUUCAUACAAUGAUAGAUUCAAACACCAAAAUUGAUCUUUUUCAAGAUCUAAAUCCAAUUUAAGAUCACUGUCCAAGUCCUAUCCCACAAUGAAGGCUAAAUCACGUUUUAUGCCUGGAUCUCAAACCAAAGCUAGAGGCACCCCUAAAAUUGAUUCCAAAACACAUUAUAUGUCUUGUUCAAGAUAGGAAAGGAAUCAAGAAAAAAAG
rnacentral:lncRNA from 1 species